rnacentral:rRNA from 1 species
UACGGAGGGUGCAAGCGUUAUCCGGAAUCACUGGGUUUAAAGGGUGCGUAGGUGGCUUUGUAAGUCAGAAGUGAAAGUUUGCGGCUCAACCGUAAAAUUGCUUUUGAUACUGCGAAGCUUGAAUCAGGUUGAGGUUGGCGGAAUGUGGCAUGUAGCGGUGAAAUGCUUAGAUAUGCCAUAGAACACCGAUUGCGAAGGCAGCUGACUGGACCUGUAUUGACGCUGAGGCACGAAAGCGUGGGGAGCGAAC